CCGAAGCUGUGGGUAGGGGAGGCAAUCAUCAGGCUCCCCAGAACGAGGCAGGAUGGUGUGCGCUCAAGCGCCCUGCGUUUGCUGGGCCAGCGGUGGCUACACUUGGUUAUUCAAGGCUGGAAUUCAAAUGAGGCUGGCGCUGCUCCAAGUCUCAGGGCUUAGGAGAGAGAGGCGCAUUAACAAUUCAUCAAGAUCAGCCUUGUGUGGGCUCCGGCUCCCCCAUCUGCAUCCCUCCCUCUGUCACUGAUUUGGGGUUGUGGGGGGGGCCUCUUCCAGAAGCACUUCAGCUGUCAGUCUAUGAACAAGGAUGGGGGGGCUCUGAAGUUAGGCAGAUUUUUCUCAUCACAUGAUGGGGGACCUGUAUCAUGUGAUGGCUCCGGUGAUGUUGGAGGCGGCAUGUGACUCCCAGGGCUACGUGGGCUCAAAAACAAUUUAAAUACAAAAACACACGCAGGUUCCCCUCUUUUCCUUUCCCUUUUGGUCUGGCUCUUUCUACCUUUGCGUUGGUGCCCGACUGAAUGGAAAACCCUUCUUCGUUUUGCAGCCUGUGAGCUCCGGGUACCUGGAGACCAGGCCCCUGCACGGCCCCCACCCCAGGAGUCGUGCCCCCAACAUUCUGCAGUCCUCUGACUAUCAGCCUGCUGUGGAAAGUGAGGCCUGGAGAGGUGAUGUGAUUUGCCUGAAGUCAUGCAACUAGUGGCAGAGCCGGGCCUAGAAGCCAGGUGUCCUGGAUCUCAAGAUACCCCACUGCCUGAGGAAUGGAACAGGAAUGGCUUUAAAAGCGACCACUGCACCACUGACUUCUUCCUGUGAGGUGACAUCACUUCGGAGGUCCUCCACUGCUAUCCAUUCAGCUCCCGAAUAUCACCUGUUGAUUCUUCAAGUCCUUUUAAUUUCCAUAUCAAGAAUUGAACCUAGCGCCUUGCACAUGCUAGGCAAACCCUGAAUCUCCGAGAUACAUCUCCAGACCUUUAAACAAAUGGUUUAUUGAUUGUUUGUUUGUUUUAUUGAGACAAGGUCUUACUGUAUAGCCUAGAUGGCCUAGAACUCACCUAUGUAGACCUGGCUGGACGUGAACACACAGAGAUCUGCCUGUCUCUGCCCCCUGCAUGCUGGGAUUAAAGGUGUGAUACUACGUCCAGACCUGGGUUUUGUUUGUUUGCGUUGUUACUUUUUAGGGUUUUGUGUGGCUGGUUGGUUGGUUCUUUUUAAAGUUAGGGUGUCAAUGAGUUGUCCAGGUUGGUGUUAAACUCUCUCUCAGGGUCAGGCAGGUCUUUUACACGUCUGAUCCUUUCCCUCUGCCCUCUGGGUAGCUGGGAUGGUAGGCCUCUGCCCUGGUGGAUUCCUUAAAUUCAACACAGGUUUAUCGCCU